rnacentral:rRNA from 1 species
AGAACGAACGCUGGCGGCAGGCUUAACACAUGCAAGUCGAACGCCCCGCAAGGGGAGUGGCAGACGGGUGAGUAACGCGUGGGAAUCUACCUGGUUCUACGGAAUAACUGAGGGAAACUUCAGCUAAUACCGUAUACGCCCCAAGGGGGAAAGAUUUAUCGGUGCCAGAUGAGCCCGCGUUGGAUUAGCUAGUUGGUGGGGUAAUGGCCUACCAAGGCGACGAUCCAUAGCUGGUCUGAGAGGAUGAUCAGCCACACUGGGACUGAGACACGGCCCAGACUCCUACGGGAGGCAGCAGUGGGGAAUAUUGGACAAUGGGCGAAAGCCUGAUCCAGCCAUGCCGCGUGAGUGAUGAAGGCCUUAGGGUUGUAAAGCUCUUUCAGUGGGAAGAUAAUGACGGUACCACAGAAGAAGCCCGGCUAACUUCGUGCCAGCAGCCGC